UUUCUUCAAAUCCACAAAAUUCUCUCUCAAUUCCAUUGGGUUUCGAAGAUGAUUGAGGUGGUUCUCAACGAUCGUCUCGGGAAGAAGGUCCGGGUGAAGUGCAACGAGGACGACACGAUCGGCGACUUGAAGAAGCUCGUUGCCGCUCAGACCGGAACCAGGGCCGAGAAGAUCAGGAUCCAGAAGUGGUACAAUAUCUACAAGGAUCACAUCACCCUCAAGGAUUACGAGAUCCAUGAUGGCAUGGGUCUCGAGCUCUAUUACAACUGAUUCCACGUCGUUGUGAGUUUUUACGCUUUUCUGAUUCUUAAUGUGUUUGAUGGUCUGGUGUUUCCUUUAUGAUUCGUCUAUUGUUAUUUUGUUGGAUGCGAUUUCUAGAACGCUUUGUUUAGUUUUUCUUGGAUUUUAGGAUUCAUUGACGUGAUUAAGAUGAUGCGUAUGUUCUUAGAGGUCGUAAGGAAUUCAGGUCUACCUCUAAGACGAGCGAUCGGAUAUGAGUUCGAUGGGAUGUGGUGUAGGGUUGACAUCGCAGUAAUAUGACGGAGGUCUUAAAACGCCAUGAGAAGCCCUUGUUUCCUAAGGAUCCUGCUCUCUUUCUUUUAUUUCUGGUCCUUUGGAAUAUAGAAUCAGUUACUAGUUUGAAAAUCAUAGUAUUUCCUCUGAUAUAUGGAUGUUUUCUAUCUCCGAGGUUUGGAAUCCUUUGGAAGACGCAUAUUGGGGGGCACUCAGUGCGAGUUUCAUAUUAAUGAACAGGCCUCGACAUGUAAAUCUUUGUUCUGUUUAGCGAACGCUAUUCAAUGUUUGAUGUCUAUAACCUGUUAUGGAACUAGCUGUCCUGUGGAUGACGACGUCACCUAAAGUAUCGGUUGUUUCUUCCCAAAGGGAGUUGUUUAUUUUCAGAAACCUACUUCAAUCGUAACCGGAUAUUUGAUUUGUUGUUCUUGAUUCGUUGUUAAUUGGCUUCCUUAUUGUAGGAUGCUCCUUCCUUUUUCCCAUCUUCUCCAACUCUUUAUGUGAGUCAGGAACUUUUUUUUUUUUAAAGUUGAUGCUUAGUUGUGUAGACAUGCUUCCCUUUGCUUAGUGGGUGCCAGAAUUACGCAUAAUUUUCCCUUCCAAUCACAGAUGGUACAAUGUUCCCUUCGUCAAAAUUUCAGAUGAGGAAGGGGAUGAGAAGGCAUCCACUAUUGUAGACAUCUUUCAUUUGUGGGUCAUCUGAUGGGAGUUGCAUGUUAUUGAACUGAUGGAAUUUGAGGAGUAAUGUAAAGCUUUUUGCCUGUCAAAUCUUAUCCCAAGCUUGUUGAACUCACCAGCAUGGGUUUGUUGGUUUCAAAAGUGAAGAAUUCAUGGGGUUUUAGAUGUCUUAUGGCAUUGCACUUGGAGCAUGCCAUUGCUUGCUCAAUACGAUGGAUUCAGUAUCUAUCUGCUUCAGCUACUGAUCAAUCCCAAAUUUGUUUCUGGAACAACCAUUUUCAUGACUGUUCAGUUUCUAGUUGAUCAAGUUUUUGAUUAUGUUGAACACGUUAACUAAAUUAUUUGCAGUCUUAGAAAGUGAGCGUUUGGGGAGGAUAUUGGAUGUUUCAUUAAAGUAGUGUGCUGUGUGUGUAAAUUAAAAUCACCUAUUGCUGUUAUAGAUAGAUUGGUAGCUAAUAGUUUUCAAGUAUUUGAA